rnacentral:rRNA from 1 species
UGGGGAAUCUUGCGCAAUGGGCGAAAGCCUGACGCAGCGACGCCGCGUGAGUGAUGAAGGCCUUCGGGUUGUAAAGCUCUGUGGAGGGGGACGAAUAAGGGUUGGUGAAUAUCCAACUUGAUGACGGUACCCUUUUAGCAAGCACCGGCUAACUCUGUGCCAGCAGCCGCGGUAAGACAGAGGGUGCAAACGUUGUUCGGAAUUACUGGGCGUAAAGCGCGUGUAGGCUGCUCGGAAAGUCGGAUGUGAAAGCCCUGGGCUCAACCUAGGAAGUGCAUUCGAAACUUCCGAGCUGGAGUGCUGGAGAGGAAGGCGGAAUUCUCGGUGUAGAGGUGAAAUUCGUAGAUAUCGAGAGGAACAUCGGUGGCGAAGGCGGCCUUCUGGACAGCUACUGACGCUGAGACGCGAAAGCGUGGGGAGCAAACAGG